AGAAUAGUAUUAAAUACAUAUAGGAAAUUUGUAUUCAAAUAUAAUCAUAGAAUUUUGAAUUACAUAUUAUAGAAAAAAUAUUCCUGAUAGCUAGAUGGUAUGGUAUUUAAGGUAUAGCAGUUAGUUUUAGUUCAACCGGGGAACUAACGUUCUAUUUCAAUAAAAAGUAAAAUUCUCAAGAGUACAAGAUGUUUUUUGUUAAAAUGAUUAACAGUUAGGCUCUAAGAUCAGCAACAGGUGAAAGACAUUUCCUGCUGGCGUUUCAACGAUAAUCUUUUUGAUUCACCCUAAGAAAAAGUUUUACCAUGAUCGCUAUUCAAAGUACUUUUUUCGCAGUUUGGUUUUUUAAGGGAAACCUGACAGCACUUCCUACUUUUUAUGCAAAGACCAGAAGAGUGUUUUUGGUGGAGGGUUACUCUCAUUGCAUAUUUUUGUAUUUUUCGACGCGGCUAGGUUCUGUUACACUAACAACACCUGUGUCUGUGUGUUGUUGCAGAGUAUGUUUCCGCACAUCUCAUUUGGGGCACAAAGAAGUGACGUGCGGUUGGUUGUAGGUGCUUGGCAGAGACAGAGUCGGAGCAGUGUGGCAGGCGGUCAAGCGUGCUUCCCGCACGCAGAUACUUGGAUUCGUUCUACCCCCAAAGCGAGCACAACGUGUGGGGCAUGACGACGGUGACGCAUGGAAUUGAAAUAGAAAGAGGCACCUAGAAGCGUGUUUUUUUGUUUUCCAGAAUUUGUUAUUAUGGUGGCUAGAAUUUACGAGUUUAACAAUAAAGGUGUACAACAAAAUUUUGGAUGCUACAGAGUCAAGUUCGAAUUGUUGUUCAAUUGCUGUUCAGCUGCUGGGCCUGCAGCAGAUCUUUGAGAUCGCGUUUUGAUGGCUCGCCGCACUCGAAUCGAUGAUAGUCAACGAUGUCAACGCCGCGCUCUUUGAGCACUUCGCCCACCGUCUUAUCGGCAUCCAGUAGAUAUUCCUGAUAAAUGAGACACGUCUCAUCGUCUUUAUUCUCCGCCGGCUUAUCCUUGCCAUAUUCGCCAAUUUUAAUGGGUUUCAUUCCCACAAUUUGCUGACAAAUUCCCUUUUGCACUUCCAGAUCAUCAAAGU